rnacentral:misc_RNA from 1 species
GAGAGAGAGAAAAUCAGAUAACUUUGACAAUAAUUGACAUGGUAUAUUGGUAUUAUACAAAUGAAAAACAUGCAGUAAAACUGAAUUGCCAGUUGAACAGAUUAUUUGGGAAUCGAAGGCAUUUGAUGCAAGAAUUCAUUUCUCUUUCACUUACAAUUUUUGCUUAUAUUCUAGAAAAAAUGUUCAAUUAAUCUUAACACACACACACAUAGAAAACUUAUUAAUCUUGCUCUAAUCUAUAAGACAACAGAUUCUCUUAAUUCUUAAGACUUCAAUAGUUAACAGAAAGUUUUUAAAAUUAAAUCAAAGUAAAUUUAUCUUACUGAAAGCACCCUAGUAGUAUGAAUUUCCCUUUAGACAUUGUUUUCAAAACUAUCUGUGGAUUCCAUUGGCAGCCAAACCCAGUAUUAUUAGCUGCGACUGAAAACCCAUCAUCUGUCAUCUAAAAAAGAAAAAAUUGAUUCCUUAAUCUUUGUCAGCAUUCAACAGGACGUCAUGACCUAAUUUUGGUAGCCACUAUCUGAUUGGUUUAACUGUUAUUUUAUCCUUAAUCCUCAAUGUUCAACUUCAAGCGAGUUAAAAAGGGAUUAGGUAUACAAAUUAAGCCAUUAAACUCCCAUCAUCAUAAGACAAUGAGAUAUCACUUGCAGAAUUCGAACUGACAAAAAAUUGAAGGAGAGAAAACAAAAUAAACGAAAAGCUCGAAUGACUGACAAUAUAGCCAUUUCUUAGUCUCGAUUUCCCACAAAUUAAAACGAUCUAAAAAUUCCAGCAACA